GAUGAAGAACGUAGCGAAAUGCGAUAAGUAAUGUGAAUUGCAGAAUUCAGUGAAUCAUCGAAUCUUUGAACGCACAUUGCGCCCACCAGUAUUCUGGUGGGCAUGCCUGUUCGAGCGUCAUUUCAACCCUUAAGCCCUGGUUGCUUAGCGUUGGGAGCCUACCGGACCCCGUCCCGUAGCUCCCCAAAGUCAGUGGCGGAGCCGGUUUAACACUCCAGACGUAGUAGCUUUUACACAUCGCCUGUAGCCUAAGCCCGGCGCCCUGCCGUAAAACACCCCCCAAUGUAUAGGUUGACCUCGGAUCAGGUAGGAAUACCCGCUGAACUUAAGCAUAUCAAUAAGCGGAGGA
rnacentral:misc_RNA from 1 species